rnacentral:lncRNA from 1 species
AUGGACUGUGUGGCAGCAAACCAGAUGCCAGAACUAGAUGACAGUGAGCAAGAAGGCCUUUUGCUUAACUUGAGAUUUUGUGACCCACGUGCCAGUUCUUCUAGUUGCCCACUAAUAAGACAGGCUGAACCACCAAUUUCUUCAAUGACUGUGAAAAGCAGUGUCCCUGUGCAAGCACCAGAUGUGGUCUGAAACAUUGGAGAUGGGCCUGGGACAGAGGCCAGGCAACUUCAAAAAACACAUGACCCAUCUUUGCAUCCAACAUUAAGAGCCUGAAAGCAUAGAAAAGAGGAGCCUCAUGCAGAAACAGUACAGAGCACUAGAUAAAAACUCAGCAUUGUCUUACAGCUUUGGCAAAUGCAGAAGAAUUCAAAAACAGAACAGCUACGGUGAGUCACAAUGAGGCUUCAUCUGACCCAGUUUAUUGACCAAUUUCCAAAGUGUAUCUUAUGCAAACAAGGUGAUCCUUCCUCUGUCAUAACCUCCAAGCGUCCAAGACCCGGUGGGAGUGCAGCUUUCUGAACUGGAGAUUGUUUAGGGGCCACCAAUUCAUCCAUCCUAUAGGUUUAUCAUUUUUAACCCUCUGUUGCCAGACUGUGUUUUCUGAAAAACAACCUCUCAUUUGAUUGAAGUCUUCCAUGUAGCAAUUCCUCUAGGUGCUCAGCAGUUAUAUUAUUAUGAAAAAGACUCCAUAAGCAUUUCCUUCCUUCCUUAUUUAUUUAUUUAUUUACAUAUAUACAAAUAUAUAUAUAUAUAAAUUUCCUUUUCCUUCUAUAUUGCUGUAACUGAGAAGAUAUUAGUGCAAAGAGCCUGUCUACCUUCCUUAAGAAGAUGGGACAUUUCAAACUUUCCAUGACCUGUUCAAGGGCAAUUUCCUCUUCUAAACAGAGAAAACUGCAAAAGGACUUCAGAGAUCAUUAAGGCUGUUACUGAUGUUAUAUGAAGUGGUUUACAAGUAGGUGUACAAGAUGGUCCUUUACUGCUCAAACAAAGGGUAAUGUAAUGAAUAUGACAAAGCAUUUGCACAUGGUCUUCCAUGUUUGAGAACAAACCUUUCUUGGAAGCAUUUACAUGAACACUAUACUGUGGUGCUGUCUGUCAGCACCUCUGAGUGACUCAGUACAGUACAAUACAGAACACGUAUUGUACUGUAUUGAUCAUGGGUCCAGAACAGUUAAAAGAAACUUCUACCAAAUGUUGGCCCAGUCUUAAUUUGGUAGUAAA